AAACUGGAGAGUUUGAUCCUGGCUCAGAUUGAACGCUGGCGGCAUGCCUAACACAUGCAAGUCGAACGGAAACGACGAGAACAAUCCCUUCGGGGUGCGUUCUCGGGCGUCGAGUGGCGGACGGGUGCGUAACGCGUAGGAAUCUACCUUAUAGUGGGGGACAACUCGGGGAAACUCGAGCUAAUACCGCAUAAUCCUUACGAGGGAAAGCAGGGGAUCUUCGGACCUUGUGCUAUAAGAUGAGCCUGCGUCGGAUUAGCUUGUUGGUAGGGUAAUGGCCUACCAAGGCAACGAUCCGUAGCUGGUCUGAGAGGAUGAUCAGCCACACUGGGACUGAGACACGGCCCAGACUCCUACGGGAGGCAGCAGUGGGGAAUAUUGGACAAUGGGCGCAAGCCUGAUCCAGCAAUGUCGCGUGUGUGAAGAAGGCCUUAGGGUUGUAAAGCACUUUCAGUAGGGAAGAAAUGCGUAAAGCUAAUAACUUUGCGUCUUGACGGUACCUA
rnacentral:rRNA from 1 species